CCUACGGGUGGCAGCAGUGAGGAAUAUAGGUCAAUGGACGAGAGUCUGAACCAGCCAAGUAGCGUGAAGGAUGACUGCCCUAUGGGUUGUAAACUUCUUUUAUAAAGGAAUCAAACGAUGCACGUGUGCCUUUUUGCAUGUACUUUAUGAAUAAGGAUCGGCUAACUCCGUUCCAGCAGCCGCGGUAAUACGGAGGAUCCGAGCGUUAUCCUGCUUUAGUGGGUUUAAAGGGAGCGUAGAUGGGUUGUUAAGUCAGUUGUGAAAGUUUGCGGCUCAACCGUAAAAUUGCAAUUGAUACUGGCAGUCUUGAGUACAGUUGAGGUAGGCGGAAUUCGUGGUGUAGCGGUGAAAUGCGUAGAUAUCACGAAGAACCCCGAUGGCGAAGGCAGCUUACUAGACUGUGACUGACAUUGAUGCUCGAAAGUGUGGGUAUCAAACAGGAGUAGAUACCCGGGUAGUC
rnacentral:rRNA from 1 species